rnacentral:rRNA from 1 species
GCUUGUCUCAAAGAUUAAGCCAUGCAUGUCUAAGUAUAAACAUUUAUACUGUGAAACUGCGAAUGGCUCAUUAAAUCAGUUAUAGUUUAUUUGAUAAUACCUUACUACUUGGAUAACCGUGGUAAUUCUAGAGCUAAUACAUGCUAAAAAUCCCGACUUCUGGAAGGGAUGUAUUUAUUAGAUGGAAACCAAUGCGGGGCAACCCGGUAUAUGGUGAUUCAUAAUAACUUUCGGAUCGAUCUUCGGAUCGAUGCAUCAUUCAAGUUUCUGCCCUAUCAGCUUUGGAUGGUAGGGUAUUGGCCUACCAUGGCUUUAACGGGUAACGGAGAAUUAGGGUUCGAUUCCGGAGAGGGAGCCUGAGAAAUGGCUACCACAUCCAAGGAAGGCAGCAGG